rnacentral:rRNA from 1 species
AUUGAACGCUGGCGGCAGGCCUAACACAUGCAAGUCGAGCGGAUGACGGGAGCUUGCUCCUUGAUUCAGCGGCGGACGGGUGAGUAAUACCUAGGAAUCUGCCUGAUAGUGGGGGACAACGUUUCGAAAGGAACGCUAAUACCGCAUACGUCCUACGGGAGAAAGCAGGGGACCUUCGGGCUUUGCGCUAGCAGAUGAGCCUAGGUCGGAUUAGCUAGUUGGUGAGGUAAUGGCUCAGCAAGGCGACGAUACGUAACUGGUCUGAGAGGAUGAUCAGUCACACUGGAACUGAGACACGGUCCAGACUCCUACGGGAGGCAGCAGUGGGGAAUAUUGGACAAUGGGCGAAAGCCUGAUCCAGCCAUGCCGCGUGUGUGAAGAAGGUCUUCGGAUUGUAAAGCACUUUAAGUUGGGAGGAAGGGCAGUAAGCUAAUACCUUGCUGUUUUGACGUUACCGACAGAAUAAGCACCGGCUAACUCUGUGCCAGCAGCCGCAGUAACAC